rnacentral:SRP_RNA from 1 species
UAGGUCGGAUGGCGGUAGCCCUGCCAACCCCGUCAGAUCCGAAAGGAAGCAGCGGUAACAGACGUUACCGGGUGUCCGACCCAUAA